UCUGGUGAUGAUAGCGGUGUGGAACUACCUGAUUCCAUUCCGAACUCAGAAGUCAAACGCACCUGCGGCGAUGAUAGUAUAUCGGCAACGGUAUGCGAAAAUAGCGCGUCGCCAGAU
rnacentral:rRNA from 2 species